UAUAAAAUUUUAAACUGGUACGAAAAGUCAAUAGGGUCCAUUUUUGAGGUACAAAAAUUCAAAAUUUCCUUUUAUUUAAUGGACUUAUUACUCAUACAUAUUUAAUGUUUAUCCCUACCUUCUAAAAAGGGGAGAAUACUCUUAUAAAUAGUGUCAUGACAUAUAUAUUCCUGAAAAUGUUUAUUUACCAUUAUACCCUUACCAUUAUACCCCCCAUUAAUAUUGACUGCUUAUCUCCCUGACUCUCUGUGCGUUAUCCCUGAAUCCCUAAUGACUUGAUGUGAUUUACUAAUGAUUUUCCUCUUUCUUCCUCGUAAUUCAUAUGAUUCCCUUUCUCCAUUGAAGUGCCUACCGAGUUUUCUCUCCUCCAUUGAAGCGCUGACCGAGCGUCCUCUCAUUUAUAGAAGUAGUUUCAGCGGUGAGGUAAUUGUUUGUGGCUUUGCUGAAUCAUGCCCAAGCUUCAAGCUUGUUAUUCACUUCAUCCGAUCGACAUAUCUCGACUGCCGAAGGCCCAAAGCUCUAUUAACCCAGAAUGUUUAAAGCUUAAGAGAUGAGUUGGUUAAGAUUAAGGAUGAUUCUGAUGUCUUUUUUGCUUUUGCUAAUGUCUUUUUUUUGUUAAGGUUAAUCUUUUAUCUAUUGUCUUUUUUGCUUGUGCUAAUUUUGACUUCAAACUUGGUAAAGAACUUUUUAGGUGUGAUUUGGGUUAAAUCUAUGUGGGUUUUUUUUUUUUUUUUAAUUUUUUUUUUAAUUAUAAUUUAUUUAGAUUAAACUUUGCAAUUGUAAUUGUUUUUGGAUGGAUUGUUUUAAUUGUUUGUUAUAAAAGAAUAUCACAAGAAACUAUUUUUGGGUA